rnacentral:rRNA from 1 species
AACGAACGCUGGCGGCAGGCUUAACACAUGCAAGUCGAACGCAUCCUUCGGGGUGAGUGGCAGACGGGUGAGUAACGCGUGGGAACGUGCCCUUCAGUUCGGGAUAACCCAGGGAAACUUGGGCUAAUACCGGAUACGUGCGAGAGCAGAAAGAUUUAUCGCUGAAGGAUCGGCCCGCGUCUGAUUAGCUAGUUGGUGGGGUAAUGGCCCACCAAGGCGACGAUCAGUAGCUGGUCUGAGAGGAUGAUCAGCCACAUUGGGACGAAGACACGGCCCAAACUCCUACGGGAGGCAGCAGUGGGGAAUAUUGGACAAUGGGCGCAAGCCUGAUCCAGCCAUGCCGCGUGAGUGAUGAAGGCCUUAGGGUUGUAAAGCUCUUUCGUCCGGGACGAUAAUGACGGUACCGGAAGAAGAAGCCCCGGCUAACUUCGUGCCAGCAGCCGCCGCAG